rnacentral:tRNA from 1 species
GCCCCCAUCGUCUAGGGGACUAGGACGUGGCCCUUUCAAGGCCAAGACCGGGGUUCGAAUCCCCGUGGGGGCA